GACUGCUCUGAUUACUACGAGCUGUGAAGGGCACGGUGCCAGCCUCUGAUCUGGGUCCUUGCUGCCAUAUGAAGACACCCACCUACCCUGCUGGAGAGGGGCUCUGGAGGGCCAGGGAGAGAGAGGAGAGCUGGGCUCCAGUCGGUGCCCCAUCCAGGGCCCACAGACAGGACAAAGCCAUCCCGGGCCUUCCAGCCCCCCGUUGGCCAUCGCAGCACACGCCACCUGCACAAAGAUCAGGCAGGCACCGGGAGCCGGCUGGCAGGUACCUCUGGGCACACUGGAUUAAUUCCCAGGGCGGCCGUCACAUCAGUGACGUUGGCACUGACCACACAUGGAGAGGACAGAAUUUAAAGAGUCUGAGUUUUUCAUCUCUCUCUGCUGUUUUCUCUCUGGUUUCCCUUUUACCGUUUUAAC
rnacentral:lncRNA from 1 species